CCUAGGGUGUAAAUUGAUCUAGCGCCAGGGUACUACGAGCAUAAAAGUGCUUAAAAUCCAAAGAGCUUGGCGGUGCUACAGACUGGUUAGGGGAACCUGCCUCGUAAUCGAUGGUCCACGAGACACCUGGCCUUUUUUUGCAAAACAGUUUGUAUACCGUCGUCGUCAGCCCGCCCUUAAGGGUGAUGAACAAUUGAGUGGGCAGGAGAAAGAGAAGUUUUUGACGUCAGAUCAAGGUGCAGCUUAUGGAAAGAGUGAGGGUGGGUUACAAUUGAGAGUGAUAUUCAAGAACGGAAGUGUUUUUGAAAAAGGACAUUGAAGGUGGACUUAAAAGUAAUAGGAAUUAAUAUAGAUAGUAUGAACGAAGCUCUGAAGCGUGCACAUAUCGCCCGUCGCUCUCGCCGAAAGGUGAGAUAAGUCGUAACAUAGUAGGGGUAACGGAAGUUGUUCCU
rnacentral:rRNA from 1 species